UUUGGUCAGUCAUCAUGGGCGAUCAUCAUUAAUCACCACGUAUCCCAUAAAUAGAACAGAACGCCAAGGGAAUGGAGAUUUAUUUUGGGCAUUUUCAAGAGGUCUGGAGAGUGGUAUUGAAGAUCUAAUGAGAUGAAAUGUUGAGGAUAAAACUAAUUUUGAUUGAUUUUAUAAAACAUUAAAUUGUCGUUUACUAAAACUUUUAAUAUUCUAUAAGAAGUUCCAUAUGAACAUAUAAAAUAUCAUUGCCAAUGUUGCCCCUCAAGUAACCCGAUUCCGAGAAACCCGUACCACUCAUGCAAAUCAAAGUGAAUCAGUGCCAAGGCAGGCAGAGAACCUGUCACGACUCCGCUCAACUUUCGGAAAGUAGCUGAAAUCUAGAAAUCAAUCGACUUCUAUCGACAAAGAUCGCAUCUAAAUGGAUUGGGUCGAUCAUUAACUUCACACUAUCUAUGGCCGGUACGUGCCUGCUGCUUCGUACGCCGGCUACCGAUUGGAAUUUACAUGAUGAUUAUGAUGCUGCGAUGAUGAUGAUCAGCGGCCACGGAUCUUGGACACACAUCGCAUGGCCCGCAUGACGCAUAAAUUUCGGCUGCUUACAGCCCGUUCCAGCCAAGUCGGAUGAGGUACACAAAAAACUACACAGCUAAUGGGUUCACGGCAUUCCGGUGGCGCAUGCGAGAAGAAGAAAGGUUCAGGAGGAGUGGAGAGAGGGGAGAGGAGGGCCAGAGUUGGCCAGAGUUUGGGGCCAGGUUCAUAGCCAGGUUGGCCAGCAACGUCCAACGUCAUCAGCAAUAUGUUGCCCGACGUCGCGACGUCGUUGAUGCUGCUACCUCGGCUACGCUGGGCCUUCUACCUGGCUUACGCAGAGAGAGCCAGGCAUCUUUUACAAUACCACCUCCAGAACAAGCCGAAGAAGCCGUUUUGCUGUUAACGAGGCCUAAACGGCUUCGCUCUGGCCCAGGCUCAGGCUCAGGUGAAAUUCUCAGAGAGUGCGGGCGCAAGAGAAUCUCCAUUUUGGAACCGGAACCAGUAGAGAAGUGGUUUUGCUAGAGAAACCCAAGUGUUCUCCCAGUGUCUCUGGGGAAUGUUCAGCUCUCUCUCGCCCUCUCUGUCUCUCUCGCCACACAGAAAUAUAUAAUAAAUAAAUCUGUGUGGGGUUUGAGCCACCUCUGUUACGCCGGGAGCUCUGGCCUGGCUCUGAGUUGACGUGACCAAAUGAAGCACUGCGACUCGAAAAUGUAUCUCAUGGAUACAAAUAUGAGAGGAGCGCGUGCGCGGCUGCCUGGGACCCGUCGCAACCAAACGGUAGCCAUGCUGGUGAAAGGCAACGCAUUGGUAUCCCCAAAAAAAACCAAGUCCAGAGAUGCCCUGCUUAUCUGAACAAAUUCUUUUUUAAUUAAGCCUCGCCUAAAGUGUUGGAAAUCUAUGAAGAUAUGACACAACAGAAGAGAACGAGGAGAACGAGGCGAGAAGACGCAACAAGAUGGAGGGCCCAGACGAUACAGAAAAAUUUAAUUAUUUACACUUCGAUAAGCAGAGCUGUCAACCACAAACAAAAGCAGCGCGUUCGAUGGCAUUGUAUCUAUGGGUCUCGCCUCGCCAGCAACCCAGAUACACGGCAUAUCACAAUCACACAUGCCAUAUAUUUCGUAUUUAAUGUCUUUAUAAAAGGUGUAGCUCGCAGAUACAUUUCUGGCGAGAGGCCACAGGCCACAGGCAACCAACCAACCAUCCAGCCGGGCUUCGGGAAAAAGGUAACAGACAUCAGGAACCGACAAUAAACAAACAGUGCAACGCGCAGUCAAGCCAAGUGGAGCGCAGAGGUUCAGGACAUGGAAACAGCAGCAGCUAUAGCUGCUACAGCAGCAGCAGCAGCCAUUUCGAAAUGCCAUUUCAUUAUGGCCAAGACCGAGGAACAGCCAAAGCCAGCGCGAGCUGAGUCAUUCCGCCGGCGAAGGAGAUGCAGGUUUUGUUAGGGGGGCGGUUGGUAUCUGGGGGACCUCGGGGACCUGGAACCCGAGAGGAAUGCCUGGCAACAAGUUUGGCGUUGCUUGUCUAGCUCUCAGCAUGCAAAUGGAUCUUCAUUUCGGACCCCAUAUACCAUGGUAUGUGUGCCUGCCAGCGAUCAGCGACGACACAUUUAACCCUGGAAUACACGAAUAGUUCCUCGGACCCACUUGGCGGACACUUCAGAGCGGCGUCUGUGCUGCCAGGGGAUUCGCUGGACAUGGAAGCAGCGAUAAAUUAAGCAGGCAGGACAGGCAGAACAGGCGCGGAAUUAAUUGGAAUACGUUUUUAUAAUGAGGCCCGGCUCAAAGGGGCACAAUCAAGGUACUUGGGGCACCACCUCAUUAAUUUCAUUUACUUGGGUUUGCAUCUAAAAAGCCAUAAAUUUUGAGGUGACUAAAAGAAAGUAUGGGCAGAGCCAGAUGGGUGGGAAUAGGGAUUGGGCAAGAAAUUUAUUUAUGAGUUUAAGGUUUAAGUGAUAGCUUAUAUAUUUAUGUAAUAUCCUUUAAUAUGAAAAAAUCAAAUGGCUAAAUAGUUGUUUCCAUUUUUAAUGCUUUUUAACGAAAUUUUCAAUAAAACAAACGUUUUUUUCAAA